rnacentral:lncRNA from 1 species
CCGGGUAGGUCCGUGGGGGUCCUUUCACUGGAGACUAAGCCCCCCCUUCCCCUGCGACCUCGUCAUCCCUCUGGGGUUCGAGUUUGCAGGCCCAGAGCCAGUCCUUUCCAAUUCUCACUUCAUCAAAGAAACGACAAAACUCUGUCAGCAACGUCUGAGCCCGUUCAGAGCCACCGACUGGAUUCCCAUUUGCAGUAUCAGCGAUCGUUGUCACGGAAGGACAAGCAGGAGAGCGCGUGUUCCAGGGUCGAUCGUUCCCAAACGCGAAGCCUUCUCCGGAGCCCAGGCGGGGCCGGGGUGAUGAGGACCGGCCUUCCCUCCCCCGCCACACCCCGUUCUGCAGAACCUGGCUGGAAACUCCAGGCUGAUGGAUGAGAGAGAGAACAGGCCUCGGGUGAACUCUUGGAGCAGAUGAGCGAAUAAUUGCGGGGCUCUUACAACCCUAACCAAACUCGCACACAAGAAUAAAUUGGGCCUAUGUACCGUGCUCCAGUCACCCACGGCAGAAACCCGCUCUCCUUCCGAGACCUUGCUGUGGUGCAGACGAACUAAGCCUGAACAUUUCCUUAGCUCCUACCCCGCGGCUCUUCGGUCAGACGGGGCCCGGGGUACUCACACUUUUGGGUAGUGCUUUUACAAAGGGAGAACUUUCUCUCUCUUGCUAGGAAG